AUUGAACGCUGGCGGAAUGCUUUACACAUGCAAGUCGAACGGUAGAGGGGGCAACCCCUUGAGAGUGGCGAACGGGUGAGUAAUAUAUCGGAACGUGCCCAGUCGUGGGGAUAACGUAGCGAAAGUUACGCUAAUACCGCAUACGAUCUACGGAUGAAAGCGGGGGACUCGCAAGAGCCUCGCGCGAUUGGAGCGGCCGAUAUCAGAUUAGGUAGUUGGUGGGGUAAAGGCUCACCAAGCCAACGAUCUGUAGCUGGUCUGAGAGGACGACCAGCCACACUGGAACUGAGACACGGUCCAGACUCCUACGGGAGGCAGCAGUGGGGAAUUUUGGACAAUGGACGCAAGUCUGAUCCAGCCAUUCCGCGUGCAGGAUGAAGGCCCUCGGGUUGUAAACUGCUUUUGUACGGAACGAAAAGGUUUCUAUUAAUACGAGGAGCUCAUGACGGUACCGUAAGAAUAAGCACCGGCUAACUAACGU
rnacentral:rRNA from 1 species